rnacentral:rRNA from 1 species
UACGGAGGGUGCAAGCAUUAAUCGGAUUUAUUGGGCGUAAAGAGGGCGUAGGCGGAGAUGUAAGUCAGAUGUGAAAGCCCGGGGCUCAACCCCGGAACGGCAUUUGAAACUGUAUUUCUAGAGGAUAGGCGGAGAAAACGGAAUUCCACAUGUAGCGGUGAAAUGCGUAGAUAUGCGGAGGAACACCGAUGGCGAAGGCAAUCCCCUGGGCCUGCACUGACGCUCAUGCACGAAAGCGUGGGGAGCAAACAGG